rnacentral:tRNA from 1 species
GGGGAUGUAGCUCAGUUGGCAGAGCGCUGCGUUCGCAAUGCAGAGGUCGCAAGUUCGAUUCUUGUCAUCUCCACCA